GCAUAAAAGACGCGAGCCGGCAUCGCACUUUGCUCCAUCCACCACCAAACUCCCAUUCCACCCAGCACCUACGCAAGCUAAACACAAGCAAAGCUGCACCAAACUCGAUCGAUUCUCCGGUCAAGCAGCACGCCAGCCAGAGCGCGCCGCACCCCCACCUCGCCGCCGAGCAAACACGCAACGCACGAGCCGGCCCGGCCAUGGAGGUGGAGGCGUUCCCGAUCGGGUUCACCAAGGGCGUGCGCGCGCACUGGCGCCGGCGCAAGUACCAGCGCCUGGAGGCCGGCGAGGGCGGCGGCAGCAGGUCCCAGGGCACGCAGCGCCUCGGCGGCUCCGGCGCGCGGCACGUCGGGUGGCGCGUGCGGCUGCGCGGGCUUCUCAUCCGGCGCGCGCGCGCCGUCCGCGCGAUCGUAACGGCGCCGAGGAGGCUGCUGGCGCGGGCGCGGGACGCGUACGUGGGCGGCAUGCUGGCCGUGGCCCGGAAGGCGUCGGCCACGGCGCUGCCCGGCGGCGGGCCCGAGGGGAUCUGGGCCAGGCGCGUGCCGCGGCGGAAGCAGCUGCCCUCGGCGACGGCGGCGCGGACGUCCGAGUUCGAGCAGCGGCUGGUGAUGGAGAUCUACAAGUCCCCAUCGUCGCGUCCAAGGAGCUCACCACCAUGCUCCACUCCUCCACCGCGCACCUGCAGGCGCCGCCCGCGCGCGCCUAGCUGCCCAGGCGGUCGCAACCGGCAUCCGUACGAAGGCUGGGAUUUUUCCUGCAGCCGUCGACCAGCACAACUGCAUGUACCACAUCAUGUUGAUCGAUCGAUCGAUCGAUGUGAAGCGAGGUUUCUCAAGAUGACCGUCUGCUCUCUCUCUCUCUCUCUCUCUCUCUCUCUCUCUCUCUCUCUCUCUCUCUCUCUCUCUCUCUCUCUCAGCAGGUGCUGCUACGAAGCAGAGGCACUGCUCAUGAAUUGCACUGUAGUAACUUGUUGUAAGAAUUGUAGAAAUCAAUCCUGAUUAAGCUGUUCAAACAAUUUGGUAUGCUUA